UACGUAGGGGGCAAGCGUUGUCCGGAAUCAUUGGGCGUAAAGAGCGCGUAGGCGGUCCGGUAAGUCAGCUGUGAAAGUCAAGGGCUCAACCCUUGAAAGCCGGUUGAUACUGUCGGGCUAGAGUCCGGAAGAGGCGAGUGGAAUUCCCGGUGUAGCGGUGAAACGCGCAGAUAUCGGGAGGAACACCAAUGGCGAAGGCAGCUCGCUGGGACGGUACUGACGCUGAGACGCGAAAGCGUGGGGAGCAAACAGG
rnacentral:rRNA from 1 species